UCUUAUUUGCUGGGUGCUGAUCUGUCUGCAGCUCUCAGAGGUGGCGGCGGCCGCUGCUUUCAUUUCGGGGCUGCCAUAGCCAGAGCCGCCUGCCGCCGGCCGCCCACAUGCUCUGCUCCAGCCAGGUGUGAUCACGUGUUUGCAGUUACCUACCGACAAACUUUGAUGGAAUGAGAGUCAGGAAGCUAUUUUCCUCCUUGUUCGGACCCUGCUACCAUGACCUUGGACAAGUUACUUUCUACUACAUGAGGAAAACUGCUUCUUGUCACCAGACUGUCUCAUCUCCCAGGGCAGGCCAGCCUUUGAGUUUCCAUAUUACUGGGAGAGACCCUGGCUCAGAGAAAGAACACUGCAUAAUAAAUUAUGGGAUGUCA